CUAAAUGUGUGCUGGACUCCAUCUGCCAGUAUUUUAUUUAGGAUUUUUGCAUGGAUACUCAUAGAAGACCUUGAUCUUUGUGCAUAAUAUUUGUUAGGUUUUCAAAUCCAUCUUAUGAUUGCCUUAUAUAAGAAUUCAGGAACUUUUCCUCUACAUCUAUGCUCUAGAAUUGUUGAAUGGCAUUGGAAUGCCCUGUUCCUUGAGGGUUUGAUAGAAUUCCUUUGUUAUAUUACCUAGGCCUGGUUCUUUUGGAAAACUAGCUGCUUGACAACUUCUCUCUUUUUCUUACGGUGCUCUAUUCAGAUUUCUAUCUCUCUUUAGUUACUAAAGUUUUGGUAAACUAUGUUGCCUAGGAGAGUAUCUGUUUUAUCUGUUUUUUUUUACAUUUAUUUGCAUAGAGUUGAACAAGAUAGUUGCUUACUUAUGUUUCUUUUAAGUUACUCUGUUAUUUUCACCAUAUCUUUUCUUAUUUUUGUGUAUUUUCAUAUUUCUUUCUUUUGAGUUUCUAACAUUUUAUCUAUUUUACUAUUUCUUGUUAUUUUUUUACCAAUUCUUCAACCCAUCAAUUCUACUUAGGAGGUUAAAAAUUUUAUUUCCCUUUUUUUCCUGUAGCAUAUUUUUUGUUCUUUUAAAAAUUGAGGUGGAUGCAUAUAGCAUUUAUUUUCAUUUAUUCUUCCUAAUUAAUGUUAGCAUUUAUUUGUGAGAACAGUUUUAGAUGUAUCCUAUAGAUUCGAAUAACGUGUGAUCCUAUUAUUUUUUAUUAUUCUAUAUAUAAUAUACUUUAUUCUUUUUGCUGUUUUCUAGAUAUUGUGCAAUUUCAGUUUGGGUUUUUCCAUUUUCCCAGGGAUUUAUGAAAAGUACAUUUUUUUUUCGUACAGAUGGCAGAGGCAGGGACUGUUAAUUUUCUGCUUGUAUUAGUAAAUUCUGGUUUUAUAUCUUGUGUACGUAAAGUUGACUGUAUAAUUUCGAAUUUCUGGAAUUUGUUUCCUAAGCAGUGCAACAUGUUAAUUUUUAUGACUCUUUCAGAAGGACUUUAAAAGAAGGUGAAUUUUUAGUUUUCAGAACAUAACAUUUAAGAGGUAUCAAUCAGGCCUUUCUUACGAUCUUACCUCUGUCGUUUAUACUCCUGAUUUUUAGGCCAUUUGAUCUGUGACUGGCCCAGAGAGGUGAGAAAAGACUCCCGUACCCUGGCCUGCCUUUCCUCUUUCUUAGGUGACAUUGCCUCAUUAAUGCUGAUACCAUGUCAUUGCGGGGCGCAAUAUUCCCAACUCUUGUAGCUUCACUGUGAGUUGCACCCUUUACCGUCCUUCAGCCUCUCUUGGUCUUGUUUAGAGAUUUGGCGGAACUUCAGCCUUUCCUGGUAUGAAGACUGUAACCGCUGCUUGCUUUGUUUCUGUUUGGAUUUGCUGACAUUGUCAAUCCUUUUAUUUAUUUUAUUUUCAGCCUGUCUGAAUCUGAAUAUUCAGCUGGCGGUUAGGUAUUGUUUUAUGAUUAAUCCUUAUAGUCUCGUUUUUCUAAUAGAUGCAUUUAGCUCAUCUUUGUACAUUGAUAUGAUGACACAUUUGCUCUUCGUUUUGCCAUAAUGUUUCCAUCAUGCGUGUUUCUUGACCUUCCAAAACCUUUCACCAUGUGGCUUGUUUUCUUUGUGUGAGUACAGUGUGUGCAAGUAUUAUCAACAAAUCUACAGAAUAUUUGAACCCCUAAUUUCUUCCAAUAGUAUUUAUUACUUCACUACUAGUAGCAAUAAUGAAAUUAGAAUAUUUAUUUUUUCCUACUCCCUUUUUUCUUUACUAUGUAGUCAUAAUUGAUAUUACAAUUCUUAAUAUUUACUUUUAUAUUUUUGCAUAUUCUCAUCUUUUUUACUUAAUUUAGGAAUUGUAUUAGUCUCUUCUCGCAUUGCUAUAAAGAACUAUCUGAGACUGGGUAAUUUAUAAAGACAAGAGGUUUAAUUGGCUCACAGUUCCACAGGCUGUACAGGAAGCAUGGCUGGGAGGCCUCAGGGAACUUACAAUCGUGGUGGAAGGCGAAGGGGAAGCAGGCCCGUCUUACAUGGCCAGAGCAUGGACAAGAGAGUGAAGCGGGAGGUGCCACACACUUUUAAACAACCAGGUUUUGUGAGAACUCAUCACUCUCAUGAGAACAGCAAGGAGGAGUCUGCCCCGUGAUCCAGCCAUCUCCCACCAGGCCCUUCUCCAACACUGGGGAUUACAAUUCGAUGAGAUUUGGGCGGAGACACAAAUCCACACCAUAUCACGAGCGUCAAACAAUAUCCUCAGCUAUGAAAGAUGAGGAAAUCAAUGCACCUAACAUCCUCCCAUCAUUGCGCACUGCAGCCUCUACCUCCCAGGCUCAAGCAGUCCUCCUGCCUCAGUCCCUCCAGCAGCUGGAACUACAGAAUAUUGCCGUCUGAAGCUGAUCAGAUUUUCCCUUCAUUAGUGACUUGAUUUUGGAGGGGGCAGGAGGAAGGAGAGAGGCUGGCUUUCUUUAGGAUUCUGUCUGUAUUUGAGAAGUCCAAUGUAGGAUGCUCAACCUACCAGAAUAAUGCAAAUACUCCAAAACUUAAAAACAUGUGAGGACCCAAACACUUCAGGUCUCAAGUAUUUCAGAUAAGGGACUCUCAACUUGUAUGGGCCCAAGAGAAAUGAAAACAUAUGUCCACAGAUGUUUUUGGCAGCAUUAUUUAUAAAAGCCAAAAAGGAGAAACAACUCAAAUGUCCAUAAACAGGUACGUGAUUGAGUACAACGUGGCCUCUCCAUACGCUGGAGUAUGACUCGGCAAUAAAAAGGAGUGAAGCGCUGGCACGUGCCAUGUGGACAGACCUUGAGAACGAGGCGCUAAGGGUG
rnacentral:lncRNA from 1 species